GACGUAGGGCGCGAGCGUUGUCCGGAUUUACUGGGCGUAAAGAGCGCGCAGGCGGUCGUUCAAGUCGAGUGUGAAAGCCCCCGGCUCAACUGGGGAGGGUCAUUCGAUACUGAUCGACUCGAAGGCAGGAGAGGGAAGUGGAAUUCCCGGUGUAGUGGUGAAAUGCGUAGAUAUCGGGAGGAACACCAGUGGCGAAGGCGACUUCCUGGCCUGUUCUUGACGCUGAGGCGCGAAAGCUAGGGGAGCAAACGGG
rnacentral:rRNA from 1 species